rnacentral:rRNA from 1 species
GUAACGAGCGCAACCCCUAUACUUAGUUACCAGCACGUAAUGGUGGGGGACUCUAGGUAAACUGCCUGCGCAAGCAGAGAGGAAGGUGGGGAUGACGUCAAAUCAGCACGGCCCUUACGUCCAGGGCCACACACGUGCUACAAUGGCCGAUACAGAGGGCAGCUACCUGGUGACAGGAUGCAAAUCUCGAAAGUCGGUCUCAGUUCGGAUCGGAGUCUGCAACUCGACUCCGUGAAGUUGGAUUCGCUAGUAAUCGCGCAUCAGCCAUGGCGCGGUGAAUACGUUCCCGGGCCUU